ACCAUCCUUUUCUUGGGGUCACGCUACUGUCCAAUGAACGCAUGGUGAGGGCAGUGCUGCUAAUGCCUGAACCACACACCUGUAUCAAAAAAUGCAACAGUUUUCUGUAUAUUAAUUUGUAUCCCA